CAUGUUGCCCGGGCUGGUCUGAAACUCCUGGGCUAAAGUAAUGUCCCCAACUCGACCUCCCAAAGUGCGGAGAUGACAAGCUUGAGCCACUGCGCCCGGUCUGAGCAUCACCCUGAGCGCCAUUUUAUAUCGUAAAAGAGACUUUGCAGAUGGAUGAAGGACCUGGAGAUGGGAAAAUGUUCCCAGAGGAUCUGGGUGGGCCUCGUGUAAUCACAGGAGUUCUCAUGAGAGAGGAAGGAGGAGUUAGGGUCUUGUGAGUGGAGUGAUGUACUUUGAAGACGGAGGAGGGAGGUACAAGCCGAGCAGUACAAGUGGCCACUAGAAGCUGAAAAACACAAUGAAAUGGAUUUUCCCCUCAGAGUCUCCAGAGAAAACAGCCCUGCUGACGUCAGCUCAGUGCAAUUCUUUUCAGACUCGAGCCUCCAGAACAAGGAAUGACAUUGUUUUCUAAGCCACUACUUUUGUGGUAAUUUGUUAUGGCAGCAAUUGAAAACUGAUACAGGUUAUUUAAAAAAUGAACAAAGAAUUGUUAUCAAGUCUAAAUUUCUACAAGUAAUAAACUGGGCAGCUUGAUUAUUUCACCUCCAGAGAGAUUGGAUUCAAAUCUCAACUCCACUAUUUACUAGUUGGACAAGUUAGUAACCUCUUUGUGCCUCAGUUUCCUCAUCUAUAAAAUGGGAAUAAAAUAGUACAGUACUUCCAUUAUGGGGCUUUUGUGAGGAUCAACUGAGUUAAUACAUGUAAAGCAGUUAGACCAGAGGCAGGUAUGUAGUAAUCCCUCAACAAAUGUUAGAAAAUGUUUGUCAUUACUGAAAUUCAACUUUCUUCUCAUGAGAAACAGAAGAAAUUAAUUCUUACUCAUUGAUAGGCAGAGUACUGCAAAGACCCAUAGAUCACCUCCCAGAUCGACUCUGGACAUGCAAAGCUGAACACAAUGUGCAAAUACUUGAAAGCUCCGUGUCUAAAACGCACAUUCCUUGCUUUCUAAUAUUUCCAUUGAAGAAUAGCCUCACUGCCCCAAAUGAGGUAAGACGGUUGGAAUUUAGAUGUUACCCUGAAUCUGCCAUUUCUGUUCUGGAAAAAUCAGCAGAAGGAGUCAAAGCACUUCCCAGCAGGGGCGGCCAUGCAGCCUUGAUAACAGAGGCUAAAAUAAGGUUCCCCUUUGAUCCGGCUCAGAGCCCAAGGGAACUGGGUUUGUUCUGAACUGCUGACCAGUUUGAGCAAGCAGAAAUCUUCACGUUCAGGCCAGGGAAGGAAUAACUCACAAGUUUCAGGGUGUUACUUGAGACUGCGCCUCUUAGAUGGCAACUGUCAAGAAAAGCCUUUGGGCUGGUCUCUGCCGUGUGGUCUGUGCCCCUCUCAUUGCCGUUCAGAUGGAUUCUGCCGUGUGGUCUGUGCCCCUCCCAUUGCAGUUCAGAUGGAUUCUGCCGUGUGGUCUGUGCCCCUCCCAUUGCCCUUCAGAUGGAUUCUGCCGUGUGGUCUGUGCCCCUCCCAUUGCCGUUCCGAUGGAUUCUACCGUGUGGUCUGUACUCCUCCCAUUGCAGUUCAGAUGGAUUCUGCCGUGUGGUCUGUACUCCUCCCAUUGCCGUUCAGAUGGAUUAGUUGGGACAGGCUAACAGGGGUACCCUAACCCCUCAUAUUUCAGAGAGUUAACAUAGAAGUGUUUCUUUAUUGCCCACAUAAUGGUCCACAUUGGGCAUUCAUGGUUGGGACACUACUUCAGGUGGAUCUCCUCCAAGUAGCAACUUAAGGACCAGUCUUCUCUAUACUGAGUCUUAGCCCUCCUCAGACACAAAGUGCAUCCCACACAGUCAACAGAUGCAGAAAGGGCAUAAAGGGUCAUGUCUGGAAGGGUUCCAUGGGCCAGGAUACUGGAGAAGGGUGCUCACUUUGGCCCACAUAUAGCUCAAAAAUUGCUGCGAGAUGUGGUCCAGUCGUGUGCCAGGAAUUUGGAGAAUCAAAGGGUCUAUUUGAGCCUACCACAGGGUUACUUAGUUGUGGGAUCAGCACCACAAGAACAUCAUGCAAGUUUGAAUCCUGUAAAAGCUUUUCCUCGCCUGGACCCCCUGCCUUUUCACAGGCAUUUAUGAAGUGUUGCUGUGGCUGCUGUGGUUCCAAACCCUGCCACGUGAGGACACAGCCCUCUUGGCUCUCCAUGCAUGCACCUCCAUCUUUUAAACUUAGCAUUUAAAACUACCUCACAGACCACCUCUGCCUGCAUCCUUUAUCCUGAUACCCAUCCAUCCUUGAAAGCAGAUGUAUCCAGAGUAUAUGGCAAGAAUUUCACACACAGGAUCCUGAGGUCAGGGAAAGUCCAUUACAGCUGUGACUUUACAAUCUGUGGGAAAGGACCCUCUUGGGAUGUGAAUUGUUCACUCAAAAUAAUUUUCCCUGGCAAUGGGCAGUUAAGGAUCAAGAGUGGGAAUUGAGAAUAUCAGGAAACAGGUGCAUUCCAGGAUGUGUGACUGAGGAUAUAGUUCGAUUCACACCAAGAUGGCAGCACAGGGAUUCUUAUAGAUGCCAUUCAGACUUCCUCUGAAAUGUGCUAUUUGGGUUGAAGAAAGAAGCCAUUAGAAGGGUGAAUAGGGUUUUUUAACCUCAAGAACAAACAAGUAAUCACACACAUACUUCUGGACGUAUCAACCUUUUAAUUCUCUGAUAUUGUGGGUAGGCAGUGCUGGGGGAGGGAGACAUUCAAGGUCUCCAACUUCUUCAGGUUUAUAGAAGUGCUUUGAAACGUUUGUAAAUGGCCUUGGAAGUGCCUCAGAGAUCAAAUCAAGACUUUCAGCAGAAAAAGAGCAGUCAGAAUUGAUGAGAUGAUGGACAUCAGCUGAGGGCUUCCAUUACUGCUGCCUUCACAGUAGCCAGCUGAUGUGUCCAGAUGACUCUCAGGCACCUAUGAGGAUCAUAGGAGACGAACAGAGACCUGCCAACAACCAUGUGAACCAGCUUGAAAGCAAACCCUUCAUCCAAACGACCACAGACCCUGCUGAUACCUUAAUGUCCACCUCAUGAAAGACCGUGAGCCAGGACCAUCCAGCUAUGCCACAUCCAGAUUCCUGACACACAAAAACUGUAAAAUAACCCUUUGUUGUUUUCAGCUGUAAAUUUGGGAGUAACUAGUUAUCCAGCAAUAAUUGGCUAAUACACUACGCCCGUUAGGAAACUGAACACCAAAUGCUUGGGUAAAUAUCGAUACCUGUGCCUGUAAAGUUAAGACACUUCGUCUCUUCCCCUUUACAGGCGAGGUCACUUGGUUGGCAGGUAGCACCUUGCGCAUUGUAGCAGGCAGGACAGGUAAUGCCAUUGGGAUCUGAGGACUUCCGAGCCACUGAUUGAAGAGAGAAAAAAAAUGUAUCUUAAGAAACAGGCAGAUAAAAGAGUUCAUUAUUUAUCCCCAA